GAUGAACGCUGGCGGCGUGCCUAAUACAUGCAAGUCGAGCGAACAGACGAGGAGCUUGCUCCUCUGACGUUAGCGGCGGACGGGUGAGUAACACGUGGAUAACCUACCUAUAAGACUUGGAUAACUUCGUGAAACCGGAGCUAAUACCGGAUAAUAUAUUUAACCGCAUGGUUCAAUAGUGAAAGACGGUUUUGCUGUCUCUUAUAGAUGGAUCCGCGCCGCAUUAUCUAGUUGGUAAGGUAACGGCUUACCAAGGCAACGAUGCGUAGCCGACCUGAGAGGGUGAUCGGCCACACGGGAACUGAGACACGGUACAGACUCCUACGGGAGGCAGCAGUAGGGAAUAUUCCGAAAUGGGCGAAAGCAUGACGGAGCAACGCCGCGUGAGUGAUGAAGGUCUUCGGAUCGUAAAACUCUGUUAUUAGGGAAGAACAAAUGUGUAAGUAACUAUGCACGUCUUGACGGUACCUAAUCAGAAAGCAACGGCUAACUACGUG
rnacentral:rRNA from 1 species